UCAAAAGAUUUUAACAAAAAU
rnacentral:piRNA from 1 species